rnacentral:rRNA from 1 species
UUAAGCGACUAAGCGUACACGGUGGAUGCCCUGGCAGUCAGAGGCGAUGAAGGACGUGCUAAUCUGCGAUAAGCGUCGGUAAGGUGAUAUGAACCGUUAUAACCGGCGAUUUCCGAAUGGGGAAACCCAGUGUGUUUCGACACACUAUCAUUAACUGAAUCCAUAGGUUAAUGAGGCGAACCGGGGGAACUGAAACAUCUAAGUACCCCGAGGAAAAGAAAUCAACCGAGAUUCCCCCAGUAGCGGCGAGCGAACGGGGAGCAGCCCAGAGCCUGAAUCAGUGUGUGUGUUAGUGGAAGCGUCUGGAAAGGCGCGCGAUACAGGGUGACAGCCCCGUACACAAAAAUGCACAUGCUGUGAGCUCGAUGAGUAGGGCGGGACACGUGGUAUCCUGUCUGAAUAUGGGGGGACCAUCCUCCAAGGCUAAAUACUCCUGACUGACCGAUAGUGAACCAGUACCGUGAGGGAAAGGCGAAAAGAACCCCGGCGAGGGGAGUGAAAAAGAACCUGAAACCGUGUACGUACAAGCAGUGGGAGCACGCUUAGGCGUGUGACUGCGUACCUUUUGUAUAAUGGGUCAGCGACUUAUAUUCUGUAGCAAGGUUAACCGAAUAGGGGAGCCGAAGGGAAACCGAGUCUUAACUGGGCGUUAAGUUGCAGGGUAUAGACCCGAAACCCGGUGAUCUAGCCAUGGGCAGGUUGAAGGUUGGGUAACACUAACUGGAGGACCGAACCGACUAAUGUUGAAAAAUUAGCGGAUGACUUGUGGCUGGGGGUGAAAGGCCAAUCAAACCGGGAGAUAGCUGGUUCUCCCCGAAAGCUAUUUAGGUAGCGCCUCGUGAAUUCAUCUCCGGGGGUAGAGCACUGUUUCGGCAAGGGGGUCAUCCCGACUUACCAACCCGAUGCAAACUGCGAAUACCGGAGAAUGUUAUCACGGGAGACACACGGCGGGUGCUAACGUCCGUCGUGAAGAGGGAAACAACCCAGACCGCCAGCUAAGGUCCCAAAGUCAUGGUUAAGUGGGAAACGAUGUGGGAAGGCCCAGACAGCCAGGAUGUUGGCUUAGAAGCAGCCAUCAUUUAAAGAAAGCGUAAUAGCUCACUGGUCGAGUCGGCCUGCGCGGAAGAUGUAACGGGGCUAAACCAUGCACCGAAGCUGCGGCAGCGACGCUGAUGCGUUGUUGGGUAGGGGAGCGUUCUGUAAGCCUGUGAAGGUGUGCUGUGAGGCAUGCUGGAGGUAUCAGAAGUGCGAAUGCUGACAUAAGUAACGAUAAAGCGGGUGAAAAGCCCGCUCGCCGGAAGACCAAGGGUUCCUGUCCAACGUUAAUCGGGGCAGGGUGAGUCGACCCCUAAGGCGAGGCCGAAAGGCGUAGUCGAUGGGAAACAGGUUAAUAUUCCUGUACUUGGUGUUACUGCGAAGGGGGGACGGAGAAGGCUAUGUUGGCCGGGCGACGGUUGUCCCGGUUUAAGCGUGUAGGCUGGUUUUCCAGGCAAAUCCGGAAAAUCAAGGCUGAGGCGUGAUGACGAGGCACUACGGUGCUGAAGCAACAAAUGCCCUGCUUCCAGGAAAAGCCUCUAAGCAUCAGGUAACAUCAAAUCGUACCCCAAACCGACACAGGUGGUCAGGUAGAGAAUACCAAGGCGCUUGAGAGAACUCGGGUGAAGGAACUAGGCAAAAUGGUGCCGUAACUUCGGGAGAAGGCACGCUGAUAUGUAGGUGAGGUCCCUCGCGGAUGGAGCUGAAAUCAGUCGAAGAUACCAGCUGGCUGCAACUGUUUAUUAAAAACACAGCACUGUGCAAACACGAAAGUGGACGUAUACGGUGUGACGCCUGCCCGGUGCCGGAAGGUUAAUUGAUGGGGUUAGCGCAAGCGAAGCUCUUGAUCGAAGCCCCGGUAAACGGCGGCCGUAACUAUAACGGUCCUAAGGUAGCGAAAUUCCUUGUCGGGUAAGUUCCGACCUGCACGAAUGGCGUAAUGAUGGCCAGGCUGUCUCCACCCGAGACUCAGUGAAAUUGAACUCGCUGUGAAGAUGCAGUGUACCCGCGGCAAGACGGAAAGACCCCGUGAACCUUUACUAUAGCUUGACACUGAACAUUGAGCCUUGAUGUGUAGGAUAGGUGGGAGGCUUAGAAGUGUGGACGCCAGUCUGCAUGGAGCCGACCUUGAAAUACCACCCUUUAAUGUUUGAUGUUCUAACGUUGACCCGUAAUCCGGGUUGCGGACAGUGUCUGGUGGGUAGUUUGACUGGGGCGGUCUCCUCCUAAAGAGUAACGGAGGAGCACGAAGGUUGGCUAAUCCUGGUCGGACAUCAGGAGGUUAGUGCAAUGGCAUAAGCCAGCUUGACUGCGAGCGUGACGGCGCGAGCAGGUGCGAAAGCAGGUCAUAGUGAUCCGGUGGUUCUGAAUGGAAGGGCCAUCGCUCAACGGAUAAAAGGUACUCCGGGGAUAACAGGCUGAUACCGCCCAAGAGUUCAUAUCGACGGCGGUGUUUGGCACCUCGAUGUCGGCUCAUCACAUCCUGGGGCUGAAGUAGGUCCCAAGGGUAUGGCUGUUCGCCAUUUAAAGUGGUACGCGAGCUGGGUUUAGAACGUCGUGAGACAGUUCGGUCCCUAUCUGCCGUGGGCGCUGGAGAACUGAGGGGGGCUGCUCCUAGUACGAGAGGACCGGAGUGGACGCAUCACUGGUGUUCGGGUUGUCAUGCCAAUGGCACUGCCCGGUAGCUAAAUGCGGAAGAGAUAAGUGCUGAAAGCAUCUAAGCACGAAACUUGCCCCGAGAUGAGUUCUCCCUGACUCCUUGAGAGUCCUGAAGGAACGUUGAAGACGACGACGUUGAUAGGCCGGGUGUGUAAGCGCAGCGAUGCGUUGAGCUAACCGGUACUAAUGAACCGUGAGGCUUAACCUU